rnacentral:lncRNA from 1 species
CCUCCCGGUACCUGAGCUCGAUGGCGCCCUCUCCCUCACUCUCUUUACCCUCUGUCCUCUCCCUCCCGAGCUCUCUCCCCCACAACUGAGAGGAUCUCUCGCUCUCCCCGAAGCCCAUCAACGUAAGCACAGGGCCCUCUCCCUCCUGGAUCUGGCGACACAACUCCCUUCCUCCCCAUUGACGGCGGCGCAGGGAGUGAUCCGACGAGUGGUGGCCUCCCCCUCCCUCCCGAGGCCACCUCUCUUCCUCCCAGAGGCGAUGCAGCUCUCUCCCUCC